rnacentral:rRNA from 1 species
AUUGAACGCUGGCGGCAUGCCUUACACAUGCAAGUCGAACGGCAGCGCGGACUUCGGUCUGGCGGCGAGUGGCGAACGGGUGAGUAAUACAUCGGAACGUACCCUGUUGUGGGGGAUAACUAGUCGAAAGAUUAGCUAAUACCGCAUACGACCUGAGGGUGAAAGUGGGGGACCGUAAACGGCCUCAUGCAGCAGGAGCGGCCGAUGUCUGAUUAGCUAGUUGGUGGGGUAAAGGCCCACCAAGGCGGCGAUCAGUAGCUGGUCUGAGAGGACGAUCCGGCCACAUGGGAACUGAGAAACGACACAGACACUAAGGGAAGGCAGAGGUGGGAAAUUUUGGCAAAGGGGGGAAACCUUGAACAAGAAAGGCGGGGGUGGUGAAGAAGCCUUCCGGGUGGUAAGGAACUUUUGUCGGAAAAAAAAUCGGGCGGGUAAUACCUGGCGUGGAUGACGGUACCGGAAGAAUAAGCACCGGCUAACUACGUG